rnacentral:rRNA from 1 species
UACGUAGGGGGCGAGCGUUAUCCGGAGUUACUGGGCGUAAAGCGCUUGUAGGCGGCUUCGUAAGUUGGGCGUGAAAGCUCCGGGCUUAACCCGGAGAGGGCGUUCAAUACUGGGGAGCUCGAGGUUGACAGGGGAAGGUGGAAGUCCUGGUGUAGCGGUGAAAUGCGUAGAUAUCAGGAGGAACACCCGUGGCGAAGGCGGCUUUCUAGGGCUUUCCUGACGCUGAGACGCGAAAGCUAGGUGAGCAAACAGG